rnacentral:tmRNA from 1 species
GGGGGUGAUUUGGUCUCGACUUGAACAUGAUGAGCAUAGGUGGCAUGCGGAGGAUGCCGGUUGGCCUCCUGAAAAAUCCGGCAAAACAAUCAAACGGCAAUUACGAUGCAGUAGCCGAAGCUGAGGCUGUUUUAGCCGAAGCGCCAGUCCUUGUUUAAAUAAAAAAACAAGGCCCUUGUGUUGAUCAGGCCUGUGGGUUUGCAUAAGGAUACUUAGCAGGCUUGUCUUGGGUGCGGCCUGCGCAUCAAAGAUGAAAUUUUAUAAGGCUGGUGCGGCCGUGCCUGUGCGUUGGCGGCGGCUGUGCGAGAUCUAAAAACGUACUACGCAUGUAGAUGCUUAUGUAAGUCUGUUUAAGGACCCGGGUUCGAUCCCCGGCACCUCCACCA